rnacentral:rRNA from 1 species
CCUACGGGUGGCUGCAGUGAGGAAUAUUGGUCAAUGGGCGUAAGCCUGAACCAGCGAAGUCGCGUGAGGGAUGAAGGUUCUAUGGAUCGUAAACCUCUUUUAUAAGGGAAUAAAGUGCGGGACGUGUCCCGUUUUGUAUGUACCUUAUGAAUAAGGAUCGGCUAACUCCGUGCCAGCAGCCGCGGUAAUACGGAGGGUCCGAGCGUUAUCCGGAUUUAUUGGGUUUAAAGGGUGCGUAGCCGGCCGUGUAAGUCAGGAGUGAAAGUCUGUGGCUCAACCCUAGAAUUGCCGUUGAAACUGGAAGGCUUGAGUAAGUUUGAGGCAGGCGGAAUGCGUGGUGUAGCGGUGAAAUGCUUAGAUAUCACGCAGAACCCCGAUGGCGAAGGCAGCCUGC